rnacentral:lncRNA from 1 species
CAGUUUAGUGAAUUUGGUUGUUCCAUGUUUCAAAGUCAGUACUGAUAAUUCUUGUUGCAUCUAGAAAGGAAGGAAAAUAAAUGAAUAUGAAAAUGCCAAAUCUUGUUUUUAGUUAAUGUCGUAGCAAGGUACAAGUGUUGUUGCACAUGGUAAAACACUAUGAAACAAUAAUUUGGCUUAUCAGAGUUGCUGCCAAAAAUUACAAUUCCCAGAAAGAUAAAUGCAAAGUUAAAAUGCUCUGAGAAGGAGGUAGCUUUUUGUUCUUGAU